rnacentral:rRNA from 1 species
UACGUAGGGUGCAAGCGUUGUCCGGAAUUAUUGGGCGUAAAGAGCUCGUAGGCGGUUUGUCGCGUCGAAUGUGAAAACCCGGGGCUCAACUCCGGGCCUGCAUUCGAUACGGGCAGACUAGAGUUCGGUAGGGGAGACUGGAAUUCCUGGUGUAGCGGUGAAAUGCGCAGAUAUCAGGAGGAACACCAGUGGGAAGGCGGGUCUCUGGGCCGAUACUGACGCUGAGGAGCGAAAGCGUGGGGAGCGAACAGG